rnacentral:rRNA from 1 species
GAUGAACGCUGGCGGCGUGCCUAAUACAUGCAAGUCGAGCGAACGGACGAGAAGCUUGCUUCUCUGAUGUUAGCGGCGGACGGGUGAGUAACACGUGGAUAACCUACCCAUAAGACUGGGAUAACUUCGGGAAACCGGAGCUAAUACCGGAUGAUAUUUUAAACCGCAUGGUUCAAAAGUGAAAGACGGUCUUGCUGUCACUUAUAGAUGGAUCCGCGCUGCAUUAGCUAGUUGGUAAGGUAACGGCUUACCAAGGCAACGAUGCAUAGCCGACCUGAGAGGGUGAUCGGCCACACUGGAACUGAGACACGGUCCAGACUCCUACGGGAGGCAGCAGUAGGGAAUCUUCCGCAAUGGGCGAAAGCCUGACUGAGCAACGCCGCGUGAGUGAUGAAGGUCUUCGGAUCGUAAAACUCUGUUAUUAGGGAAGAACAUAUGUGUAAGUAACUGUGCACAUCUUGACGGUACCUAAUCAGAAAGCCACGGCUAACUACGUG